rnacentral:tRNA from 1 species
GCCCCCGUAGCUCAAUUGGAUCGAGCGUCUGACUUCGGAUCAGAAGGUUGCAGGUUCGAGUCCUGCCGGGGGUA